GAGUUUGAUCAUGGCUCAGGACGAACGCUGGCGGCGUGCCUAAUGCAUGCAAGUCGAGGGAGAACCACUGACUUCGUAAGAAGUCGGUGGGGAAACCGGCGAACGGGUGAGUAACACGUGAGGAACCUGCCCUGGAGCUAGGGUAAGUUGAGGAAACUCGGAUUAAUACCGGAUACCUUCAUCGGAUCGCAUGGUCUGAUGAAGAAAUGGAUUCUGCUCCAGGAUGGCCUCGCGGCCUAUCAGCUUGUUGGUGGGGUAACGGCCUACCAAGGCUUCGACGGGUAGCUGGUCUGAGAGGACGAUCAGCCACACUGGAACUGAGACACGGUCCAGACUCCUACGGGAGGCAGCAGCAGGGAAUAUUGCACAAUGGGCGCAAGCCUGAUGCAGCGACGCCGCGUGCGGGAUGAAGGCCUUCGGGUUGUAAACCGCUUUCAGGAGGGACGAAAAUGACGGUACCUCCAGAAGAAGGCCCGGCCAACUACGUGCCAGCAGCCGCGGUAAUACGUAGGGGUCAAGCGUUGUCCGGAUUUAUUGGGCGUAAAGAGCUCGUAGGCGGUUUGGAAAGUCGGUCGUGAAAGCCCGAGGCUCAACCUCGGGACGCCGGUCGAAACUUCCAUGACUAGGGUCCGGUAGAGGUGAGUGGAAUUCUCGGUGUAGCGUUGAAAUGCGCAGAUAUCGAGAGGAACACCAUUAGCGAAGGCGGCUCACUGGGCCGGGUACCGACGCUGAGGAGCGAAAGCGUGGGGAGCAAACAGGAUUAGAUACCCUGGUUAGUCCACGCCCGUUAAACGUUGAACA
rnacentral:rRNA from 1 species